UUGAUCCUGGCUCAGAUUGAACGCUGGCGGCAUGCCUUACACAUGCAAGUCGAACGGCAGCAUGAUCUAGCUUGCUAGAUUGAUGGCGAGUGGCGAACGGGUGAGUAGUACAUCGGAACGUGCCCUGUAGUGGGGGAUAACUAGUCGAAAGAUUAGCUAAUACCGCAUACGACCUGAGGGUGAAAGUGGGGGACCGCAAGGCCUCAUGCUAUAGGAGCGGCCGAUGUCUGAUUAGCUAGUUGGUGGGGUAAAGGCCCACCAAGGCGACGAUCAGUAGCUGGUCUGAGAGGACGAUCAGCCACACUGGGACUGAGACACGGCCCAGACUCCUACGGGAGGCAGCAGUGGGGAAUUUUGGACAAUGGGGGCAACCCUGAUCCAGCAAUGCCGCGUGUGUGAAGAAGGCCUUCGGGUUGUAAAGCACUUUUGUCCGGAAAGAAAUCGCACUUACUAAUAUUAGGUGUGGAUGACGGUACCGGAAGAAUAAGGACCGGCUAAAUACGUGCCAGCACCCGCGGUGAUACGUAGGGUCCAAGCGUUAAUCGGAAUUACUGGGCGUAAAGCGUGCGCAGGCGGUUGUGCAAGACCGAUGUGAAAUCCCCGGGCUUAACCUGGGAAUUGCAUUGGUGACUGCACGCCUGGAGUGUGUCAGAGGGGGGUAGAAUUCCACCUCUCCCUCCGAAAUGCGUAGAGAUGUGGAGGAAUACCGAUGGCGAAGGCAGCCCCCUGGGAUAACACUGACGCUCAUGCACGAAAGCUCGGGGAGCA
rnacentral:rRNA from 1 species